UACAGAGGGUGCGAGCGUUAAUCGGAAUUACUGGGCGUAAAGGGUGCGUAGGCGGUUGUUUAAGUCUGUCGUGAAAUCCCCGGGCUCAACCUGGGAAUGGCGAUGGAUACUGGGCAGCUAGAGUGUGUCAGAGGAUGGUGGAAUUCCCGGUGUAGCGGUGAAAUGCGUAGAGAUCGGGAGGAACAUCAGUGGCGAAGGCGGCCAUCUGGGACAACACUGACGCUGAAGCACGAAAGCGUGGGGAGCAAACAGG
rnacentral:rRNA from 1 species